CGUCGCUGGCAUCGCACCUCGCGAAUUCGCUGCCAACAGUAUCCUCUUCUUAACAAAACGAUCUAAUAGAAUCAUUCGGGGUAUUUUUCACGGUAUGUAUCAGCGCGCAAAACUGUCUCGUCCCUCGCACCUAUUCUGCUCAAGGACCACGUGGCGAGGAACACGCGAGACGAUGAUCGUACGAGCGUGGCCUUGCGCCGAGACGCACGUGUUCCCGUGCUCGACGUUCGCCUCCGGCCUUGAAAUUCGUACGAAUCGGCAAGUUUCGGUUUCUCAUCCGUCGCGUUACCCGAGGCGCCACGCCGCUCGCCGUGAUAAUCUCCGUUUACGGGAGCGACCGGAGGCGGGCUGAUAACGAUAUGCACUUCUCGGCCUGGGAGCGCAUCGCCGUUCUCCUCGUGCCGAAAACAGCCGGCCUUGAUCUUCGAUCCACGCCUUCGGAAACGUGUUAUCAGCUUAUCGGCGAGAUCGUGGAUAUCGCGUGCCUCCGACGGAGGUGGAAGGUGGCCCGCGCGUGACGAAAACGUGACACUGUGUACUUCCAUUCACGACGAAGUCCUUUAAAUUGCUGCGAGCUUCAGAGGCGAGUACUGAUUAGAUAAUAUCAAUAAAUGUCCCAAUUUCUUUUCACCUAAGCAUGAUUUUGUUGUCAACUAUACAUAAAAAACGAUAAAUCCAAAUUUAUAAUGAAAAUGAAUGAAGCAAAGAUUCAUUCACAAUUAAUUCAUCCUGCGAAAUGAAGCUACCUAUUUCAAUGUCUGUGUUUCUACUCAGUCACAGCUCGGUGUUGUUAUUUCUAGUCAUUAAGAAAAUCAUGUCUCUACUUUUACUCAAAUCAAGAUUAAACAUUGCGCCAAGUCAUUCAGAUAAAAUGAUUAAAUUCGGCAGCAUGUGACUUUGUUUUCGAGUAGAUUCUGAAUAUUCAGUGAUACACUUAAGCACGUGUCUUACUAUAAUUUAUUCUUCAUGAAUUCAUGUUUAUUUCACUAAUAGUUUACUUUUUUUUUUGUAAUCGUUGAAUUAUUUCACAGAAUAAUAAUUAUAUAAAUAUCUUACGAGGCUCAUUUUUUCACUGAUCAUUUGAAAAGUGCAAGUAACUUUUAUCUGAUAAAAUUGUCAGUCGAAUACGAAGAACAAAUUCCAACGCGAGGAACCAGUUAUUGGUGUCCAUUUCCCCAAACCCGAGCAAACGAAUCGACGCUUGUCGACCCGGCAUCGUACCAAUUAUCACGCAUUACCUGUUCUCGAAAAGCAUUCGAGAAUACAGUCGAGCGAGCGGGUUCAACGAACCCGGGAUGUCACGGAUAUCCGAGGCCAGCCGAAAUAGAAGUAUCGAGAAUAAUCCGUUGUUAAAAAGGGCCGCCGAAUCUGGCCGAGCGACGGGGCGGUGGCGCCGAUAAAAUAGCCCGCGCAGCCUCGACUCACCGCGAUGACUCGGCUGGAUAAUUAUGUCAUUUCAGGAAUCCCCGGGUUCGUCGGUCGUUCGAGGACGAAACUGGAGCAACGACCUUCGAAUUCGGGCCGGUCGCUCGGCCGGGGUUCGUGAACCCUGAAAAGAGCUACGCCGCGGCCCGGGAUAGAUAGUACAGUUACGCUCUCUUCCUCCACCUGGCUCUUCCUCUCGCCGCCGCCUUCCCACCAUCCGCGUCGCCUUCGGUCCUCCUUCUUCCUCCGCUAACAAUGGAAGCUCGUGCCCGAACCCGCGCGCACCCGCGCCUGGCCAAAAGGAAAUACCGUAUGGUCACCUCGUCACCGAGGCGAAGAGGAAAUCCCUCCGGUUCGACGACCUGCUAAAGGUGACUCCGAUUGUCUGGAAACCACCGAGUGGCAUCGAUCGGCCUCGCUGCGCGCCUCCUUUCUCUUUUAUUUUCGAUCGGCUCGGUUCGAUACCGACUUCCGAUUCCACCCAGGAAAACGAGUUUCGACCAGAUGGACGCUUCACAGUUUCACUGUCCUCAUGCAUUCUAUAAUUAUCAAUACCUUCGACGUGAUACACUUUUAACACGAUGAAGUCUCUGUCUACGUAACAGUAUUAGAUAAUUAUUUUACAAACUUUUUAUGUUCGAAGUAAAAAGUGGAAAAACGUAAUAAAUUAGUAACAAACUCAUUAAUUCGUGAAAGAGGGAUGGAACGGAAUAAUAGAAUGAUAAUAAUGGGAUAGAACGGGGAAAGAGCUGUUAUCUAAAUUACAUAAAGAGGAGCACUCAUGGAAAGUAGAAUUCCUUUUACGUGGUAAACGUACGAGAAGAGUCGAGAAGGGUCGACGACCCGGCUGUCUGUGGUCAUCGAGUGGGUAAGCAAGCGGAGCGAACACGUUGGAUGGAACUUGGGAAGAGCAGAACUGGGCGGCGAGGAAGAAGACGUUCACCCGUAAUGAGACGCGAAACUUCGCCAGUAGGUAGCCACCUAUCCGCCGGGAAACGUGAGAAAUCCUUACGCAAAGAGAUAGUAGUGGUUCGAGGUAACUGGGUCGCUGAUUCAGACUAGUCGGGGCCGCUCCGAGCUGAUAUCAACGGGUUUUAACGGGAUCGUGAGUAAUCGACUCGCGUCGCCAAGCUACAGUCAAUUCGAAUAAAAAACGUUUUAGUAAAAGCUUAGCUCUUUCAUGACUCAAAUGUUGUAUGAAGCUAUAAGAUUUUUUUAAUCACGAUUUAAAUUCCGCCAAAUGUUUUUUUUUUUUUUUUAUCGCUAAAUAGAAUUGCAAUUUUUCAUUGAUAAAUUUUAGAAUCGAUGUUCAGUACAAUUAUUUUUAUUACAUUGCUGAGAGUUUUCUCUGAUGGUUUAAUACAGUAAAUAGAUGAAUAAAUAUGAAUAAAAAUAAGUGAACUGCUUUCACCGCUCUUGCGGCUAUAAAAAAAUCGACGGAGCUUUUUUUAGCCGGAAUUAAAAAUUUCCGUCACGGGUUUAGUCGUAGCGGCAGCAACUUUCGAAACGCGCAACGAGCGGAAUGAACGAUCGCGUUUUCACUCUCUUUUUUUUUCAUAUUUUUUUAUUGCUUUCACUCUCGGCGGACGGCGGCGUCACUCUCGAUGAUAACGAGCCAACGGCACCGGUCGAUGACGUUUUAUCAGGGGAACAGUCGGCGGGUGUUGUCGCUUCGCCGAGGCUACCGCUGUCUUAUCGAACGCUUAAUUAAGGUUUUAAUUAAAACCAACUAGGGAGACGAGAAUCGAUGUUUUGUUCCGUCGGCUCGCGAACACCUGCAUCAUCCCUCGGUUUUCUCCUUGGUUUUAUGCUGUACUCUACCCUUUGUCAAUCAAAUAAUCGCUGAUGCGCUCUUACAAAUAAUCGAUUUUAAAAUUGAUUAAAUUAAUAAUUCAUCAAUCGAAUUAAUUUCUAUUUUCUGU